UGGGGAAUAUUGGACAAUGGGCGAAAGCCUGAUCCAGCCAUGCCGCGUGUGUGAAGAAGGUCUUCGGAUUGUAAAGCACUUUAAGUUGGGAGGAAGGGCAGUAAGCGAAUACCUUGCUGUUUUGACGUUACCGACAGAAUAAGCACCGGCUAACUCUGUGCCAGCAGCCGCGGUAAUACAGAGGGUGCAAGCGUUAAUCGGAAUUACUGGGCGUAAAGCGCGCGUAGGUGGUUCGUUAAGUUGAAUGUGAAAGCCCCGGGCUCAACCUGGGAACUGCAUCCAGAACUGGCGAGCUAGAGUAGGGCAGAGGGUGGGGGGAUUUCCUGUGUAGCGGUGAAAUGCGUAGAUAUAGGAAGGAACACCAGUGGCGAAGGCGACCACCUGGGCUCAUACUGACACUGAGGUGCGAAAGAGUGGGGAGCAAACAGG
rnacentral:rRNA from 1 species